rfam:Streptococcus pneumoniae SP11-BS70 ctg363_SP11-v3, whole genome shotgun sequence.
UGUGCUAUACUAGUAAGGUUGAAUGAAUCAACCCUUGGUGCUUAGCUUCUUUCACCAAGCAUAUUACACGCGGAUAACCGCCAAAGGAGAAAAGAUG